UGGGAAUAUUGGGCAAUGGGGGAAACCCUGACCCAGCAACGCCGCGUGAAGGAAGAAGGCCUUCGGGUUGUAAACUUCUUUUACCAGGGACGAAGGACGUGACGGUACCUGGAGAAAAAGCAACGGCUAACUACGUGCCAGCAGCCGCGGUAAUACGUAGGUUGCAAGCGUUGUCCGGAUUUACUGGGUGUAAAGGGCGUGUAGGCGGAGAUGCAAGUCGGGAGUGAAAUCCAUGGGCUUAACCCAUGAACUGCUUUCGAAACUGUAUCCCUUGAGUAUCGGAGAGGCAAGCGGAAUUCCUAGUGUAGCGGUGAAAUGCGUAGAUAUUAGGAGGAACACCAGUGGCGAAGGCGGCUUGCUGGACGACAACUGACGCUGAGGCGCGAAAGCGUGGGGAGCAAACAGGAUUAGAUACCCUGGUAGU
rnacentral:rRNA from 1 species